UAGGGGGCAAGCGUUAUCCGGAUUCAUUGGGCGUAAAGCGCGCGCAGGCGGACCGUUAAGCGGGACCUCUAAUCCUAAGGCCCAACCUUAGACCGGGUCCCGAACUGGCGUAGUCUCGAGUGCGGUAGGAGAGAUCGGAAUUCCCGGUGUAGCGGUGGAAUGCGCAGAUAUCGGGAAGAACACCGAUGGCGAAGGCAGAUCUCUGGGCCGUCACUGACGCUGAGGCGCGAAAGCUAGGGGAGCGAA
rnacentral:rRNA from 1 species